GACGAACGCUGGCGGCGUGCUUAACACAUGCAAGUCGAACGGAAAGGCCCUGCUUUUGUGGGGUGCUCGAGUGGCGAACGGGUGAGUAACACGUGAGUAACCUGCCCUUGACUUUGGGAUAACUUCAGGAAACUGGGGCUAAUACCGGAUAGGAGCUCCUGCUGCAUGGUGGGGGUUGGAAAGUUUCGGCGGUUGGGGAUGGACUCGCGGCUUAUCAGCUUGUUGGUGGGGUAGUGGCUUACCAAGGCUUUGACGGGUAGCCGGCCUGAGAGGGUGACCGGCCACAGUGGGACUGAGAUACGGCCCAGACUCCGACGGGUGGCAGCAGUGGGGGUUAGUGCACAAUGGGCGGAAGCCUGAUGCAGCAACGCCGCGUGCGGGAUAAUGGCCUUCGGGUUGUAUACCGCUUUCGCCUGGGACGAAGCGUAAGUGACGGUAAUGGGUAAAUAAGCACCGGCUAACUACGUG
rnacentral:rRNA from 1 species